rnacentral:rRNA from 1 species
UCUGACCAGCCAUGCCGCGUGCAGGAAGACGGCCCUACGGGUUGUAAACUGCUUUUGUACCGGAAUAAACCUUUUCACGUGUGAGAAGCUGAAUGUACGGUAAGAAUAAGGAUCGGCUAACUCCGUGCCAGCAGCCGCGGUAAUACGGAGGAUCCAAGCGUUAUCCGGAUUUAUUGGGUUUAAAGGGUGCGUAGGCGGCUUGUUAAGUCAGAGGUGAAAGGCGGUAGCUUAACUAUCGGAGUGCCUUUGAUACUGAUGAGCUUGAAUGCAGCUGAGGUAGGCGGAAUGUGACAAGUAGCGGUGAAAUGCAUAGAUAUGUCACAGAACACCGAUUGCGAAGGCAGCUUACUAAAGUGCGAUUGACGCUGAGGCACGAAAGCGUGGGGAUCAAACAGGAUUAGAUACCCUGGUAGUCCACGCCCUAAACGAUGAAUACUCGAUGUUGGCGAUAUACGGUCAGCGUCUAAGCGAAAGCGUUAAGUAUUCCACCUGGGGAGUACGCCCGCAAGGGUGAAACUCAAAGGAAUUGACGGGGGCCCGCACAAGCGGAGGAGCAUGUGGUUUAAUUCGAUGAUACGCGAGGAACCUUACCCGGGCUUGAAAGUUAGUGA